rnacentral:rRNA from 1 species
UUCUAGCUUGCUAUCAGANGACGNGCGGCGGACGGGUGAGUAAUGCUUGGGAAUAUGCCUUAUGGUGGGGGACAACCUUUGGAAACGACUGCUAAUACCGCAUAACCUCUACGGACCAAAGGGGGGGAUCUUCGGACCUCUCGCCNUUUGAUGAGCCCGCGUGAGAUUAGCUAGUUGGUGAGGUAAUGGCUCACCAAGGCGACGAUCUCUAGCUGGUUUGAGAGGAUGAUCAGCCACACUGGGACUGAGACACGGCCCANACUCCUACGGGAGGCAGCAGUGGGGAAUAUUGCACAAUGGGCGAAAGCCUGAUGCAGCCAUGCCGCGUGUGUGAAGAAGGCCUUCGGGUUGUAAAGCACUUUCAGAUGUGAGGAAAGGGUAGUAUUUAAUAACNNNUUUCUGNNNCGUUNCCUACAGAAGAAGCACCGGCUAACUUCGUGCCA